rnacentral:rRNA from 1 species
UACGAAGGGUCCAAGCGUUAUCCGGAUUUAUUGGGUUUAAAGGGUGCGUAGGCGGGUUGUUAAGUCAGCGGUGAAAUCUUGCAGCUUAACUGUAAAAUUGCCAUUGAUACUGACGAUCUUGAGUACACUUGAAGUGGGCGGAAUAUGUCAUGUAGAGGUGAAAUUCUUAGAGAUGACAUAGAACACCGAUUGCGAAGGCAGCUCACUAAAUUGUAACUGACGCUGAGGCACGAAAGCGUGGGGAUCAAACAGG